ACUUUUGCCUCACCCUGUAUAGUAAAACUGGAACAGUACAGAGAGGAUUAGCAUGGCUCCUGCUCAAGGACAACACUCAAAUUCGUGAGGUGUUCCAGAUUUUU